rnacentral:misc_RNA from 1 species
CCGAGUACUACACUCAUAACCCUUUGUGAACCUUUAUAACCUGUUGCUUCGGCGGCGCGCCUCUCGGGGCGUGCCCGCCGGUAUCAUCAGAAUCUCUGUUCGAACCCGACGAUACAUCUGAGUGUUCUAAGCGAACUGUUA